CAGCCGCCGCGGUAAUACGUAGGGGGCGAGCGUUACCCGGAUUCACUGGGCGUAAAGGGGCUGUAGGCGGCUCGGUAAGUCGGGUGUGAAAUCCCACGGCUCAACCGUGGAAUUGCGCCCGAAACUGCCGAGCUUGGGGCCGGUAGAGGGAGACGGAACUGCCGGUGUAGGGGUGAAAUCCGUAGAUAUCGGCAGGAACGCCGGUGGGGAAGCCGGUCUCCUGGGCCGCGCCCGACGCUGAGGCCCGAAAGCUAGGGGAGCAAACCGGAUUAGAUACCCGGGUAGUCCUAGCCGUAAACGAUGCCCACUAGGUGUGGGGGAGUAUUUCCUCCGUGCUGUAGCUAACGCGUUAAGUGGGCCGCCUGGGGAGUACGCCCGCAAGGGUGAAACUUAAAGGAAUUGGCGGG
rnacentral:rRNA from 1 species